AACGAACGCUGGCGGCAGGCUUAACACAUGCAAGUCGAACGGAUCCUUCGGGAUUAGUGGCAGACGGGUGAGUAACGCGUGGGAACGUACCCUUUGCUACGGAAUAACUCAGGGAAACUUGAGCUAAUACCGUAUGUGCCCUACGGGGGAAAGAUUUAUCGGCAAAGGAUCGGCCCGCGUUGGAUUAGCUAGUUGGUGGGGUAAUGGCCUACCAAGGCGACGAUCCAUAGCUGGUCUGAGAGGAUGAUCAGCCACACUGGGACUGAGACACGGCCCAGACUCCUACGGGAGGCAGCAGUGGGGAAUAUUGGACAAUGGGCGCAAGCCUGAUCCAGCCAUGCCGCGUGAGUGAUGAAGGUCUUAGGAUUGUAAAGCUCUUUCACCGGUGAAGAUAAUGACGGUAGCCGGAGAAAAAGCCCCGGCUAACUUCGUG
rnacentral:rRNA from 1 species